CGUCGCUCAGGCUGGGAGCUGUAGACCGGAGCUGUUCCUAUUCGGCCAUCUUGGCUCCUCCUCUCGUGGUCUGGCUCUGUCACCCAGGCUGGAGUGCAGUGGUGCGAUCUCGGCUCACUGCGACCUCUGUCUCCUAGGUUCAAGCAAUUCUCCUGCCUCAGCCUCCCAAGUAGCAGGGAUUACAGGCAUGUGCAAUGAUGCCUGGCUAAUUUUUGUAUUUUUAGUAGAGAUGGGGUUUCGCCAUGUUCGCCAGGCUGGUCUUGAAUUACUGACCUCAAGUGAUCCGCCUGGCUUGGCCUCCCAAAGUGCUGUGAUUACAAGUGUAAGCCAUGGUGCCCAGCCAUCCUAUCUAUAUUUUUCAAAUAAAAUCUGUAGUUAAAAAAAUCAUUUGCUUGAGAGACUUGUUACUUCAGAAUACUAAAGGCAAAAAUAUAUUUAAUAUGAAUGAAUAAACAAACACAUGCAGAAAGAAACAAAGAAAGGGAUAGUGUUUUGUUUUUUGUUUUUUGUUUUGUUUGUUUGUUUGUUUUUGAGUCAGGAUCUAGCUCUGUCACCCAGGUUGAAGUGAAGGGGCACACAUGAUUUUGGCUCACUGCAACCUCUGCCUCCUGGGUUCAAGCCAUCCUCCUGCCUCAGCCUCCUGAAUAGCUGGGACUAUAGGCACAUGCCACCACGCCUGGCUAAUUUUUGUAUUUUUUUGUAGAGAUGAGGUUUCACUAUGUUGACCAGGCUGGUCCCGACCUCCUGACCUCAAGUGAUCUACCUGCCUCGGCCUUUCAGAGUGCUGGGAUGACAGGCGUGAACCACCGUGUUUGACCUUGAAUUUCUUAGAAAAAUGGAAAUACAGUUUUUGACCUGCUUAGAUACCUUGACAUAUAAAUACAGACUAAACACAGAAUUAAACGUAGUUCAUUUAGAAAUAAAUAUUCUGCUUUGAGAUAUUUAGAAUCUAAGAAUAUACUGAACCAGUUUUAAAAUAAUGAUCCUCAUACAGAACACAUGACUUAAAAAUCUGCAUUGUCUUUCCUUGUCCUGAUAUGUAUUAUUUUAUCAUUACUUAACAGGACUUUUGUAUUUUAAAGUAUUUUAUACACAAUGUGUAUAGGCUGGAUUUGGCCAUACUCAGGGGCCAAAUUUUAAAGAGAUUUGGGGGUUGCAAUCCAGCCCAGUUAAUAAAGAUCCUCUGUAAGCAGCUGAUCCCAGUGUUUGCCCAUCUUUUGCUACUCAUUGUCUGGAAGCUGUGAUACCAACCACAUUUUCUGAUCAUGUCUAAUUCUGCUGAAUGCAGAGAGGCUCAGGCUCUAUCUAGUAAAAUAAGGGAGUCAGAGAAAUAUGAACAUGUGAAAGUCAUUGAGCCCAGACUAAAAUUACAACAAUCAACUUACAAGUAUUUAUAUUAUACCAUAUUAUAUGUCAACAAUAUUCAGGAAUAGUAUAUUUGGUGUGUG
rnacentral:lncRNA from 1 species